UACGGGAGGCAGCAGUGGGGAAUAUUGCACAAUGGGCGAAAGCCUGAUGCAGCUAUGCCGCGUGUAUGAAGAAGGCCUUAGGGUUGUAAAGUACUUUCAUCGGGGAGGAAAAAACAAAACUAAUAAUUUUAUUUCUUGACGUUACCCGAAAAAGAAGCACCGGCUAACUCCGUGCCAGCAGCCGCGGUAAUACGGAGGGUGCUAGCGUUAAUCAGAAUUACUGGGCGUAAAGAGCACGUAGGUGGUUUUUUUAAGUCAGAUGUGAAAUCCCUGGGCUUAACCUAGGAACUGCAUUUUGAAACUGAAAUACUAGAGUAUCGUAGAGGGAGGUAGAAUUCUAGGUGUAGCGGUUGAAAUGCGUAGAUAUCUGGAGGAAUACCUGUGGCGAAAGCGGCCUCCUAAACGAAUACUGACACUGAGGGUGCGAAAGCGUGGGGAGCAAACAGGGAUUAGAUACC
rnacentral:rRNA from 1 species